UAUAUAGUAAUAAUAAUGCCCCAUGAAAAUGAUUUUCCAACCAUUUUUCUAACAUAUAAAGUAUGGUUUCUAAU